GGGGUAAAAGCACAAUUGGUGCGGUGAAUUGCAGAUUCGACGGAGUAAAUUAUAUUACUUAUCCUU
rnacentral:tRNA from 1 species